GUCCACGCUGUAAACGAUGAACACUAGGUGUGGGUGGAGUCAAAUCUGUCCGUGCCAAAGCCAACGCGUUAAGUGUUCCGCCUGGGGAGUACGGCCGCAAGGCUAAAACUCAAAGGAAUUGACGGGGGCCCGCACAAGCAGCGGAGCGUGUGGUUUAAUUCGAUGCGACACGAAGAACCUUACCUGGGUUUGACAUGGACGUAGUAGUGAAGCGAAAGCGGAACGACCCUUCGGGGAGCGUGCACAGGUGCUGCAUGGCUGUCGU
rnacentral:rRNA from 1 species